GAUGAACGCUGGCGGCGUGCCUAAUACAUGCAAGUCGAGCGAACAGACGAGGAGCUUGCUCCUUUGACGUUAGCGGCGGACGGGUGAGUAACACGUAGGUAACCUACCUAUAAGCCGGGGAUAACUUCGGGAAACCGGAGCUAAUACCGGAUAAUAUUUCGAACCGCAUGGUUCGAUAGUGAAAGAUGGCUUUGCUAUCACUUAUAGAUGGACCUGCGCCGUAUUAGCUAGUUGGUAAGGUAACGGCUUACCAAGGCAACGAUACGUAGCCGACCUGAGAGGGUGAUCGGCCACACUGGAACUGAGACACGGUCCAGACUCCUACGGGAGGCAGCAGUAGGGAAUCUUCCGCAAUGGGCGAAAGCCUGACGGAGCAACGCCGCGUGAGUGAUGAAGGUCUUCGGAUCGUAAAACUCUGUUAUUAGGGAAGAACAAACGUGUAAGUAACUGUGCACGUCUUGACGGUACCUAAUCAGAAAGCCACGGCUAACUACGUG
rnacentral:rRNA from 1 species